rnacentral:lncRNA from 1 species
GCCCAUGCAAAAGGCAAAAUUAUCAGGAAAAAGGGAGAAAACUUUCUCCCCCAAAAAAGACAAGAAAACAACUUGCGUUUUUUUAUAAUUUACUCUAGAUGAAGGGAGCAAUUCAUACAAGCUGAGUAUUUGGUUAUGUGUGUUUGAGGCUAGAGUUGACAUUGCAUAGAUUAUCUGAAACAUCUCAAAAUGAGUACUUUCAAAUGGCUCCAGGUUUGUAGUGAUCCCAGGAACCUGGCAGUAACAAAAUUAAAUCCUUUGUGAGUUUAAUUGUUAAGUGUUGGCUUUGAGGAA